UAAGGAAUAUUGGUCAAUGGACGCAAGUCUGAACCAGCCAUGCCGCGUGAAGGAUGAAGGUCCUCUGGAUUGUAAACUUCUUUUAUCUGGGACGAAAACGGGAUUUUUAUCUCAAUUGACGGUACCAGAGGAAUAAGCACCGGCUCACUCCGUGCCGGCAGCCGCGGUCAUACGGAGGGUGCGAGCGUUAUCCGGAUUUACUGGGUUUAAAGGGUGCGUAGGUGGGCUUAUAAGUCAGUGGUGAAAUCUCCGAGCUUAACUUGGAAACUGCCGUUGAUACUAUAGGUCUUGAAUUAUCUGGAGGUAAGCGGAAUAUGUCAUGUAGCGGUGAAAUGCUUAGAUAUGACAUAGAACACCAAUUGCGAAGGCAGCUUACUACAUAUAAAUUGACGCUGAGGCACGAAAGCGUGGGGAUCAAACA
rnacentral:rRNA from 1 species